rnacentral:rRNA from 1 species
AUGCUAUUUGGCGGUUUCCUUUUUUGCACGACAAAAGAUCCCUUUCACUUUUCUGACUCCAUUUGCAUCCUCUUCCUCGAAAGUUUCUCGCCGGCCGCAGUUCACCAUUGCACACCUCCAACCAUGGAUGACGGGAAACUAACAACACUCACCGAACACAUCACUACCCACGGUACAACCAUGCUGGAGGUGGUGAACACCAACGACCCAAGGACCAUGGAGCGGAUCAUCAAAAAGUACGAGGAAUGGCUAAAGGGGGAGAAGAACAAGUUCGUCGGCCUCGACCUCGAGUACACAUGUAAGAGCAGUUACACACGACAAGGGAUCGCCGUCGUCCAACUUGCCAUGUGCGAGCAUGUCCUUGUGUACCACUACUGCAGAUCCGAGCGCUCCCAGGCAUUAGUUGACUUCCUGCAAUGGUGA